AUGAGUUUUGCCUUAUCUGCUUGUUUUGCCAGGUUGUUUCCAACCGUAUUAUCUACUAUUGUGGCAAUAAACACGAGUCAAGAGUUGAAUAAAAAGAAUUCUUUUUAUCAUCAUCAUCACCAUCAUCCUCAAUCACUGUCAUCACCAUACCACAAGGAAAAUCAAGUCUUCCAAUUUUUUUUUUUCACUAAUAUUAUGUGCGUGUGGAAGGGGAAGGAAGGAAAUUAUCCAACUGUUUCCUGCAGGCAGAGCAAGUCCCUACAGAGCAGGCUGCCCUCAGUGAUGAUGAGUUUUGUAUCUCCCAGAACAUCCCACCUCUUAAAUGUCUAGCAUCUUGUAAGCAAGAGAUGCUUGGAGAAGAAGAAUGGUCAAGAAGAUGGAAAUAAUGACUAAUGCUGUUCUUCUCACCUGUUUGCCAGUCUCACUCAAAUGAGGAUGACUAUUUAGAGUAAUAUUGAAUUACAGAAAGCUUUAUGCGAUUAUAAGCCUGAGAAAGAAGCACCCAAACGUGCAUGUAAAAGGUGGACUAAUAAGAGGCAAAG
rnacentral:lncRNA from 1 species